GGUAGUCCACGCUGUAAACGAUGUCGAUUUGGAGGUUGUGCCCUUGAGGCGUGGCUUCCGGAGCUAACGCGUUAAAUCGACCGCCUGGGGAGUACGGCCGCAAGGUUAAAACUCAAAUGAAUUGACGGGGGCCCGCACAAGCGGUGGAGCAUGUGGUUUAAUUCGAUGCAACGCGAAGAACCUUACCUACUCUUGACAUCCAGAGAACUUUCCAGAGAUGGAUUGGUGCCUUCGGGAACUCUGAGACAGGUGCUGCAUGGCUGUCGUCAGCUCGUGUUGUGAAAUGUUGGGUUAAGUCCCGCAACGAGCGCAACCCUUAUCCUUUGUUGCCAGCGGUUCGGCCGGGAACUCAAAGGAGACUGCCAGUGAUAAACUGGAGGAAGGUGGGGAUGACGUCAAGUCAUCAUGGCCCUUACGAGUAGGGCUACACACGUGCUACAAUGGCAUAUACAAAGAGAAGCGACCUCGCGAGAGCAAGCGGACCUCAUAAAGUAUGUCGUAGUCCGGAUUGGAGUCUGCAACUCGACUCCAUGAAGUCGGAAUCGCUAGUAAUCGUAGAUCAGAAUGCUACGGUGAAUACGUUCCCGGGCCUUGUACACACCGCCCGUCACACCAUGGGGAGUGGGUUGCAAAAGAAGUAGGUAGCUUAACCUUCGGGAGGGCGCUUACCACUUUGUGAUUCAUGACUGGGGGUGAAGUCGUAACAAGGUACCAAGGGCGAA
rnacentral:rRNA from 1 species